rnacentral:lncRNA from 1 species
ACUUUCUCUACUCCCAAAUUGGAAGAGAAUUCACACCACACCAAAGCCUUGAAGCCUCGAAACUCUAAAGCUUUCAAGCAAAUUCCGAAGAAUCAAGAAAGCCCUCUUCGUUCUUCGUCAAAAUCCUCCUUCAAGAUGAAGCCCCAACGGCCCUUGAAGAAACUUCCACUAAUUCAAGAUCAACCCCUGACGGACCUCGAAGAAAGUGUUCAUCGUUCAUCAUCCGUUCAUCCUAAAGAUCAAGCCCCGACGGCCCUUUGGAUCAACAACAACAAAUCUACCCAUUACAAAGAUAGAAUCAGAGGCUAAAUUUGUAGAAGAGAUUGUAACCCCUAAAUCAUUAAUACAAAUAUUAUUUUGUACACGUUGUUCUUGUUUCAGGAAUUUCCGUGUUCACAAUAUCGUGUCUUAUAUUUGAUGAACUUAUAAAUGUUGAGACUGAAUGUUUGAAACUAGACAACAGUUCAACAUAUUACAAAACUGUUCUAGUCACCAAAACCAAAUUUUUUUUUUCUUCAUUCCUUUACGAAAACCUAUGUUCUUGUAGAUUUUUUUUAUUAAACAAAUGAUAUUAUCUACAAGAGAGGGGGUGGACUUGGCCAUAUAAUAAGCUAGCAGUAAUGUGGUUCAAAUUUGCAUUUGGUGAAAAUCGAAUAUAAAACCUAUCACUUACAAAUAAAGAAAAAUAAUGAGUUGGACUAGCUAGGUCAAAAGGCUAAAAAAACUACUUUUGUUUUGUUUUUCUUUUUUUUUU